rnacentral:snoRNA from 1 species
UUGUCCUGGCCUGUGCUUUUCUUACUCCCUGUGCUUAUUUCUCAAAGCAGAGUGACAGGACACACAUCUUGCUUAAACU